rnacentral:rRNA from 1 species
UACGUAGGGUGCGAGCGUUAAUCGGAAUUACUGGGCGUAAAGCGUGCGCAGGCGGUUAUGUAAGACAGAUGUGAAAUGCCCGGGCUUAAACUGGGAACUGCAUUUGUGACUGCAUGGCUAGAGUUUGGCAGAGGGGGGUAGAAUUCCACGUGUAGCAGUGAAAUGCGUAGAUAUGUGGAGGAACACCGAUGGCGAAGGCAGCCCCCUGGGUCAAGACUGACGCUCAUGCACGAAAGCGUGGGGAGCAAACAGG